rnacentral:rRNA from 1 species
GAUGAACGCUGGCGGCGUGCCUAAUACAUGCAAGUCGAGCGAACGGACGAGAAGCUUGCUUUUCUGAUGUUAGCGGCGGACGGGUGAGUAACACGUGGAUAACCUACCUAUAAGACUGGGAUAACUUCGGGAAACCGGAGCUAAUACCGGAUAAUAUUUUGAACCGCAUGGUUCAAAAGUGAAAGACGGCCUUGCUGUCACUUAUAGAUGGAUCCGCGCUGCAUUAGCUAGUUGGUAAGGUAACGGCUUACCAAGGCAACGAUGCAUAGCCGACCUGAGAGGGUGAUCGGCCACACUGGAACUGAGACACGGUCCAGACUCCUACGGGAGGCAGCAGUAGGGAAUCUUCCGCAAUGGGCGAAAGCCUGACGGAGCAACGCCGCGUGAGUGAUGAAGGUCUUCGGAUCGUAAAACUCUGUUAUUAGGGAAGAACAUAUGUGUAAGUAACUGUGCACAUCUUGACGGGACCUAAUCAGAAAGCCACGGCUAACUACGU